GACGAACGCUGGCGGCGUGCUUAACACAUGCAAGUCGAACGGAAAGGCCCCUUUGGGGGUACUCGAGUGGCGAACGGGUGCGUAACACGUGCGUAACCUUCCCUUGACUUCGGGAUAACUUCAGGAAACUGGGGCUAAUACCGGAUAGGAAUCCUUGCUGCAUGGUGGGGGUUGGAAAGCUUCGGCGGUUUUGGAUGGACUCGCGGCUUAUCAGCUUGUUGGUGGGGUAGUGGCUUACCAAGGCUUUGACGGGUAGCCGGCCUGAGAGGGCGACCGGCCACAUUGGGACUGAGAUACGGCCCAGACUCCUACGGGAGGCAGCAGUGGGGAAUAUUGCACAAUGGGCGGAAGCCUGAUGCAGCAACGCCGCGUGCGGGAUGACGGCCUUCGGGUUGUAAACCGCUUUCAGCAGGGGCGAAGCUUGUGGUGACGGUACCUGCAGAAGAAGCACCGGCUAACUACGUG
rnacentral:rRNA from 1 species